UGGAGGUUUAAUUAUUUAUACUUUUAUUAUACUUAUUUUAAAUAAUAAAUCAUUACUUUGAAUUUUUCGCCAGUAGUUCUGAGCGAAGAUGGCAAAAGUUGAUGGAAACAAUAACAACUUAAAUAUUCAAAACUAAAUAAGUAUAGAAUAAAGUUCGACUUCCGGGUUGAUGAAACUAAAAACUUUAUCAUGUGGACAAAUGGAGUUGAGAUUUGCACAACAUGGAUGAAUCCAGAGGUCAUUAUGAUCAAUGAAGCAGGCCAGACAAAGAAAGACAAACACUGCCUCGUGUCACUUCUAUGUGAACUCUCAAAACAACAAAAAAAGGGCAAAGUCAUAGAAACAGAGAGUAGAAAGUGGUCGCCAGGGCUGGGGGUGGGGGAAAUAGGGAGAGGCUGGUAAAAGGGCACAAACCUUCAGCUCUAAGAUGAAGGUCUCAGGAUCUAAGGUAUGACGUGGUGACCAGAGUUGAUGACACUGAAUUGUGUAACUGAAAUUGGCUAAGAGAGUAGCACUUAAAUGUCCUCACACACAGACAAAGUCAAUGUGUACAGUGAAAACAAUUGGUGUUGCGGACAGAGGAGACCGUGAGAGUCUAAAUCCCUGGGAACUAGCCCAAAUUCCUGGGAGAACUUCAGACUUUCAAAGGCCAUGGAGUGGGCGGGGCCAAACCAAGAAUCCAAGACGCACAAGGAGCAGGUGAUAUCUGGCUUCCAGGUGGGAGGAACAGAAAACUGACUAAGUUCUAGAAGGCCCAGGAGGGUGGAGGGAGGGAGUAGUAGGCUGGAUGGUGGGGGAGGGGCUGUGGUCCAGCCUGCUCCCCUCUGUGCCCUCCCCAGCCCUCAGGAGCCCUUUGUGACAGGGCCACAGUUUGUGAUGGGGCCUGGGGUAAUAAUCUCCAAGCCACUCCCUGAGCUCAGUUGCCUGAGGGCAGCGCUGAGUUUCAGACAUGGAGAAUCCGCUCCUGUAUCUGAAAAGCGUUACUGCUACCUGGCAAGCUCCAGUUCCACUCCCAGGGUGAUUGGUACCAUCCUCACCUUCCAGUGUGGACUGGGGUUCUUCCUCAUGUUCCUUCCCUACGUCCAGAAUAAUCCAUCUUCACGACCACCUUGCAAACGUAGAAACAUGAGGAAGCAUCAAGAGCAGCCGAGAGGGAGGAGCAGCAGGAGUAGGAGGAAAAGUGGAAUUUUGCAAGGUGAGCUUCUGCCAUUCAGCCCUGUGUCCCAGAGCUGGCCUCCAUCUCCUGUCCCUGAGCGCCCAGCUCCACGGGCUCUGAGGAUGCCAGGGGCAGAGCCUGUCCCUCAGGAAACAGAGCCCUCUGGGAAGCUCCCAGGAAGGAGAUGAGAACCCAGAGACUUGCCAGAGUCUGUGCUGGGAAGCAAGCCCCAAGUGUGGAGGGGCCUGGAAAUGGGUGUUGCCCAGUAGGCCCUGUGGGCUGUGGUGGAUGUGGAAGCACUUUGUCAAAGAGAAAGCUUAACCCGUCAGGAGCCUUGCCAUCCCCGUCAGGGAUCCCAUGGCCUUGGAUAUAAUGCCUGGGCUCCAGAGUCUGACCUCUCAACUGUGGCCCCUAAAGGGACAUUCUUGCAGCCUCCUGUAAGACCCCUAGGCUCCUGCCUUCAGCACGGUGACCCAGUCUCCUGAUUUCCAGCUUACAGAGAUGGUCGGAAAGGACUAGAAGUGCAGGGCCUGAUUUCUGUUCCACAAAGGUCAAGAAUCUUUUCAUCUCUCCUGGGUCCUUCUUUCUCCCAGAACCUCUGAUGUGACUCCAGGGCUGUAGGCAGCUUGGGGCUGAGCUGGGAGGGGGCCAUGGGGACAGGGUGUGGCUAAAGGCCUGGGGUGAGGGACAACAGGAGAAUUUUGUGACUUGAGGGUUGAGGCUGUGGAGGGCCGUGGCCCUUAAUGGCCACACUGCCUGGCCUGCCCAGCCCUCCUGGGGCCCUCUGCUCCUGGCUGCAGCUUGUGCCUCCUGUCUCCUGCAGUUCCUGGGGAGGCUCUCUCACAAGGCUGGCUUUCAUUGGCUGUCAUGUCCAGACUCCCCUGGGGAGGUCCGCAAAACAGCAUAUGCUGAGCCCAUCAGCCAUGCAGGGAGCCUGUGGAAGAUGCUGCCCUCGCCAUGUCGCCAGCAGUUCCCCUGGCUCCUCUGACCGAGCACCCCCGACCUCUUCCAUGGUCCACUUUCCCUCCUCAGCCACCUGUGAAUCUGGGGCCUCUCGGAAGCCAACUUUACCAAGUUCUUGAGAAAACCUCUUCAGCCUCCUCCGCCAGAGAAACAAAACAGUUUAAUAACAAAAGAGUCACUUCCUACCCUGGCCCGUCCCCUCUCUGCUCCCUCACCUGUGGGUGAGGAAAUCCAGAAGGCCCUGGAGGGACUCUACCUGGUGAUGGCUGUGGGCCCUCAGAGGCCCCUCUGAUGGACAGGAGGACAGGCCGCCUUCUCAGACCUUCACACUCAGCCUCCCGGGCAGAAGCUGGCAGAGUGGGACGGUCGUGGGGGCCGAGCGAGGCAGUUAGAGUUGAGUCCAGGUUCAGCAAUGGCCAGGAAUGAGCCAAGGGAGGAGAGUAGGGUGGGGCCUCACAAGAUCCCUGCCGUGGGGUAGCAAGACUGGAGGGCAGCUCAGGGUCCCAGUCUUCGGGGGCUGAGGGGCCGAGUGAGCUUGUGGAGUUUGAGGAGGCGCUUCUUUGACAUCUCAUGUUGAGACCCAGUGUGCUGGCCAACUCCCCAAACCGUGAAUGUGCCUGUGAGGAAUCCAGUGUCUCCAGGGUCCAGGACAAGCCCCUCACCACCUACAAAGUCAGUUGCCCAAGAUCCAAAGGAGCUGUGCUUGAAAAUGAAGCUCACCAGUAAGACUGAGCUGCAAGGGAAGGUCGUGUCAGACCCAGCCUCAAGGCCAUGCUGCUGGCCGGCUCCUUCGAGACUCUCACACUUGUGUGCUCCAUGCCACACAUGUGUUGGCUUCUCACUGGUCACUGUCCAGGUCCCAGAGGGAAUACAACAGUGGGGACGUGGCAGCUUUCCAGGUGCCAUAUGACCUCCAAUCUAGUAGACAGGGGAUUCAGGGGCAGCAGCAGCCUAGGAGACCAAAACGUAAGGCCCUAUGGAAGAGUCGGCUUCCCCAAGUUGCUGAGAAGGAGGAGUAUAUGAGUCCUGGACCAGGAGAGGAUGGAGAGAGAUUUCCAGGACUGGGGGCUUCCCAGGCCAGUGGGAUGAGCCACUCUCCCCUGGUCAGCGGAAUAGGAAACAUCCUUGGGAGCAAAGACCUCCAGCUCCUGCCAGAGAAGGAACAAGGUUUUCCAGAAUGCUGAUUCAGGAAAAGGAUGAGACUCCUUCUGCCCUGUCUGAAGCCCAGUAAAGAAGACAAAGCACCAGAAGAUCCCCUUCCAGAAGGCCAGCCUGUAUCCGCCACGGCCCAGAGCCAGGGACCAGUCAGAAACAGCUCAGUUCUAGACGGCAGGGCUGUUGAAGCUCAGCCGAUGGUGACAUCUUUUGGACUAGCCCUGGGAGAGAAAUUGGGGCUUUGCUGAGGACUUCACAUCUCCCAAUUAAAGCAGCACAAGGAACAAUUUCAGGCCUGGGUAGCUGGGCAUCCUGCUAGUAUGGGGGUGCAUCCUCUUGAGAGCAGACAAGAGUGAUGACAGGUGACAGUCACAAAGCCACCCCCAGGAGCCACAGCUGUCUAAAUAGUGUAAGUGGACCAGAGACAGGGAUGGCAAGUAUGGCAAGUGGAUCUUGCUACGCGGGGAGCUGUGGUCCCCAGCUAAACCCUGCCAGCAUGGGCCAAGUGUGGCAGGUCCCUCAGCCCCCCACUACCCACCAUGCUGUCCUCAAACAGGAGUCUCGUGUGGUCAACCAGAGUGUGCUUCUCACACCUUUCACUGUAGGAAAACUUUUCUCCAAAAAUCAAUGACGUGGAUGCAGAGAAAACCUGUUUUUUCCUGUUAGCCCAUGCAUGCUCUGUGUGCUAAUUACAUCUUCCUACCCCCAUUUUCCCAAAAUACAUCAUUUUUGCUCCUGAGAGGUUGUGGCCUCUGUUUGUGUCCUGCUGAGGGUAAGGGAAGGGAUCCCGGUCUGCCCUUGUCACACUCUGGGGAAGCAGCAAGGAGGAGGGCUGUGCUCCCGGCUCUGAGGGCAGGCAGGUGGGGAGCACGGAGGCUGCUGAGGGGCUGACCCCUCUGCCCCAGAGGAGCAAAGGGCCCUGCUCUUCUCCACCUGCCUUUUCCUUCUGGGGAACGAAGCCGGGACAUGGCUGUGUGGCGUCACCAUCUGAUGGUGGGACACUGUAUGCCUGGGGUGGCAUAUAAGGAAGGAGGUAAAGUGACCCCACAGUUUAAC
ensembl:lncRNA